rnacentral:rRNA from 1 species
GACGAACGCUGGCGGCGUGCUUAACACAUGCAAGUCGAACGGAAAGGCCCUGCUUUUGUGGGGUUCUCGAGUGGCGAACGGGUGAGUAACACGUGAGUAACCUGCCCUUGACUUUGGGGUAACUUCAGGAAACUGGGGCUAAUACCGUAUAGGAGCUCCUGCUGCAUGGUGGGCGUUGGAAAUUUUCGGCGGUUGGGGAUGGAUUGGCGGCUGAUCGGCUUGUUGGUGGGGGAGUGGCUUACCAAGCCUUUGACGGGUAGCCGGCCUGAGAGGGUGACCGGCCACAAUGCGACUGAGAUACGGCGCAGACUCCUACGGGAGGCAGCAGUGGGGAAUAUUGCACAAUGGGAGGACGCGUGAUGAAGCAACGCCGCGUGCGGGAUGACGGCUUUCGGGUUGUAAACCGCUUUCGCCUGUGACGAAGCGUGAGUGACGGUAAUGGGUAAAGAAGCACCGGCUAACUACGUG